GUCCUCUGGAUUGUAAACUUCUUUUAUAUGGGACGAAAAAAGGUCUUUCUAGAUCACUUGACGGUACCAUAUGAAUAAGCACCGGCUAACUCCGUGCCAGCAGCCGCGGUAAUACGGAGGGUGCAAGCGUUAUCCGGAUUCACUGGGUUUAAAGGGUGCGUAGGCGGGUAGGUAAGUCAGUGGUGAAAUCCUGGAGCUCAACUCCAGAACUGCCAUUGAUACUAUCUAUCUUGAAUAUUGUGGAGGUAAGCGGAAUAUGUCAUGUAGCGGUGAAAUGCUUAGAUAUGACAUAGAACACCCAUUGCGAAGGCAGCUUACUACGCAUAUAUUGACGC
rnacentral:rRNA from 1 species